GUAAAAUGGAGUUUUGCCUCUAUCCUGGGAGAUAAUUGAAUUACUUCCCAAUUAUCUCCAGGAUAGAGAGGAGGGUUCUUCACAGCUAAAGGGGAGUGUUUAUGCCUCUAAUACUGUGAUUGGUUACUUUGUCAUUUUUGUCAGUUUUCCACCAGGUCCCCUAGGUGAGUGUCCACCUGGUGGAAGACCUGCAUACCUAGCCACGUAAGACUGUAG